GUGAGAGGGCAGUAGGGCUUCAGAGGGAAAAGACAGAAGCAGAGAAACAAGACUUAGGAAAGAAGUGGACAGAUGGCCGUAGCAGUGAUCAUCAUCACUUGUGCGGUUCUAUCAAUCUACCUAUGCAUUUCUACGCCACCUCUCACCAGAGUGCUUGCCUCCUGUUCUCCCUAAGCAAUGAGGUUAAUAUUGAAGGGCUUGGUGUGGGUCUCUCAUGAGCAGGCAUAAAGCAUACCGUGGGAAGCACUACAUUUUAGAGCUCGUGAGAUUCCACUGUGCUCCAUAGAUUAGAAACUGUUCUAUUCAGUACCGCCGAUGCUGUGGUAAGCUUAAACCAGAAGGGCUAUGAUGGGCCAGAAAAUAGAAAUCACAGUGUAUCUGUGGCUUUGGAAAUUGAUUGUGAGCAAAGCUGAAAAACAAUGUUGAGCUCAUUAUAACGCAUUUUGAUCCAGAACAUAAGAUUUGGGGCAGAUAUGUACUUAUAAGAAUUAAUACAAUCAUGCAGGGAGAUAGGAUGGCA
rnacentral:lncRNA from 1 species